GCAUGUGCCGAUCCGCUUGCGCUUGCGCAGCAGCAGCGCUCGAAGCUCUCGUUCUCGACUUGCCCUCAGUGUCUGUGCGUGGUUUCUGUGUUCCCUCACAACCAGUCAGUUUUCUUACUGGUCUCCCCAACCAAGGCCGGAUAAAGGGAUUUGGGGCCCUACUGAACAGUGUGGUUUGGGGUUUUUUUUUUGGGGGGGGGGCUUUUCUACACCGACACUUCCCCCCGCAUAGAGUGGUGUGUAAAAAGUCAGGGACAGCAAUCAGCCCCAUAUCCACACACAACCUGACAGCCUUGGCCACGUAGAAAGCUGGCUUAAACUGAGUCAGACUAUUGGUCCCUCUAGCUCAGUAGUGUUCUUAUGGCUGUCUUGACCUGCAUGUAUGUAUGUACGUCUGUAUGUAACCUGACCUCCCGCCUCGGGAACAUGAUCUAUCAUAUAUCUGCAUGCUAAACGAACCAUGCUAGCACAGUGGCUGGCCACCCAGGAACUCCUGCUGACAACACCCCUGGAGGACCCCCUGGACCUGGAGAAGACCCUCCGCCGUCGAGGACCCAUGCCCAGAGGCUGCAAUUGGCAGAAGAAGACUGGCACGGCCCUGUCGGCCACACGCAAGAUGAAGCGGUUGAGGAACUUCAAGUUGAGAACCACCCUCCAAGACCCAUUCUUCUUGGGGACGAGGAAGAGAAUAGAGUACAUGCCUAGAAAUCUUUGCAUAGACUGAACGCAUUCUAUCGCUUGAAUCUGGAGGAGAUGGUGAACUACUUGGAGCAGCUGAAGAUGUUUGGCCAGAUUGUUGGAGCAAGGAGAAGGUAAAAAAUGCUGGGGAGGGUAAGAGAGGAGUUUGAGGGCAUAGCCAUUGGAUACGGUGUUGAUCACCCAGUUGUCACUGGACGUGGACAUCCAGGUCAUUGCGAAUUCUGACAACCUACCACCCACCGGGAUCAAGUCAUUGCCUACGUGAAGCUGAUGUGGCGGGGGUGGGGGGAAGGUCUUUUGCUGGGCCCUCUGUAGUUGCCUCUGAAGUGCUGAUGCCACUGUGGCCUGCCGCCACCUCUGGUUUGGGGGCGGAAGUCCCGGAACUGCAUGUAGGGCCGAUUGUAGAAUUGCCUGUUGGAACCAAAGGAGUACGUUGGGGCUCGAAAGAGCCUGUGCGAGUCGCUGUGGUUGGAAGACAUAGCCUUCUCUCUAUCCUUAGUUUCCACUAGGAUAGGGUCGAGAGGAUAGGGUCGAGUGCUGGGCCGAACAGGUUAGUACCCGAGAAGGGGGCUGAUGUCAAAGUAAGCUUGGACUUAGAGUCCACAUUCCAACUUUUGAGCCACAAGGACCUGUGUACCACCACUCCUGCAACCAUAGCCCUAGAGAACUGUUGAAUAUAGUCCAAACUGGAGUCUGCCAUAAGGGCUGAGGCUUUGGCUAUUUUGUUAAUACUCUGGCAGAACUUGGUGUUUUCGGGUAGAACCAGGGCCACAAGUUCCUUAGCCCAGAGCACGGAGGCCCGAGCAAAAAUGGAGUUGGUAGUAGCCACCUUGAUGGUUGUGGCUGUGGCAUCAUGGACCUUUCUUAAAAGGGUGUCAUAUCUCCUAUCCACUUGGGACUUUAGCUGCUCUUGACCCUCUGCAUGCAGGAUAGAGCCUGAAACCAGUUGGGCUACUGGGGGGUCUAUUUUGGGGGUGGCCAAUAGGGCUAUCACCUCUUGUGAGAGAUGGUAGCAUUUCUUUGGGAGAUUGCCAAUUGGCUUGGAAUACAUUGGGCAUUGCCACUCAGUUCACAUAACCUUGCGAAAAAGAGGAGGGAACAGCAUGCCGUAGAAACAGAGAUAUUUGAGGGAAAGACAUUCUGAUCUAAGGUGGUUGAUGGUUCCGUGGAUUCAGAAGGUGCCACAUCAUGCACAGUUCUCUUUGCCUUGGAUAAAAUAAUGUCGAAAUCUGAUGAAGAAAAAAGCCUAGAAAUGUUAGGGAUAGGGGGUACAACCUCCUCAUCCGAGAGUUCUCCAUCCUCCUUAUUGGAACCAAUAGGUUCUGCUGGUUCUGAGUGUGAGGAAUCAGAGGCAGAGGUGGGGAUGGCAGAAGCAGAGACGGAGUGCCUGAUAGGGGGAGGGGGGCAGUUGGAGAGAUCAGGGGAGCCGUAGCAGGAGAAGGAGAUAGGGUACGUACCCUAGGAACCAGUACAGGAGGACUUGUGCAGGAUGCCUGGGUCAUUUGGGACUCAUAUGUUCCUGAGAGGAGGAGGAGGAGGAGGAGGAGGAGGAGGAGAAUAAAUGUCUAUGGCUCCUUUUGCGCCUUGGAGACAAUGGCCUUGGUGCGAAUACCCCCGCUCAGAAACUGGGAUGGCUCACCUGCGUGGGCUAGAAUCCAGGGAGGAGGAUAGCCAGUCACUGCCUCUUCUAAAAAGGUAGCUGGCGUCAGCUAGGGCCACAUGCCAAAGGAGCAGGGGCUGCCGGCACAGAGAUCGGAGCCGCAGGUAGCUCAUGAGAUGGGACUGCUGAUGGGAGGCUAUACGGAGGUGCAGGUGGCUCAUUGGCAGGGCAAUCAGGUAGAAGUUUCCUCCUAAAAAAACUCCCUCAACCAAUGGGUAACCCUCAGGGAGAAGGGAGGGUCUGGAGUACUCACAGUUCCUGGAGAUGCAGAAGAAAUGUCGGAAGGCACAACAGGCAGAGAAAAUUACCUGGGCAGUGGGGAGGGAAUGCGCGGGCAAGCUGGUUCCCCCUCAGCCGCUUGGCCCGUAUUGGGUGCCAGGAGAUUGCCCGAAGGGCGCUAGUUGUCCCCCUCAGGAGACAGCGGUUUGUGAUGGUGCGCUUUCAUUUUCAAUCUUUUGCAGACUGCCUUAAUUAGGAACCUCUCGCUCAGUUGUAAGCUCUCAGCUCUAGAACUCAACUCCUUGCGCCACUUUUUAUUUGGGGAGGGCUGGCCCCCACUAUGCUUUGACUUCUUGGGAGCCUUAAAGAAAGUCUGCUCCGAAGUCUGUGCCUCCUGAAUGGGAACCGCCGGCGCGGUGGGCGCAGAGGAAGCUGACGCUACUUGAGGCAUGGAAGUAGGGGCCGUAUGCACUGAGCUGCCCAGGUCCUGCAGCAGCUGGGACUCCUCUGAAGGGGAGCCCUGCAGGAGCUCCUGGACGUGAGCCAACUCCAUUGGAGUUCUUCCCUCCCCCCAAAUAAAUUGCAGGAAGAAAAAUAAACCUUUUGCUUGUUCCAAACAGUCCGAAUUAGAAUGAAAAAAGGAAAUAUAAUUUAGAAGCUUUUAGAAAUAGCCAAUAUGAGAACAGCUCUCGUCCCACCCUUGCACAAUCUAAAUAGGAAGAGGAGAAGUAGAGCACCACAGUGCAGCAGAAGAAAGUCGGGAGCAAACAGCAGCCAAAAACCGCCAGUAGACGGAGCUCUCUCCACUAACUUCCUAUCUCAAGCAAGACAGAACUGGAACUGGGGCUGGGAGGCGCCUUCGGCAGCACAUUACAUCACAUGAUCCAGUUCUGUCUCGAGCAUGCUCAGUAUACAAUCCUAUCUGAUGAGCUCCUACACAAGGGGAAAAGAAAUUCUUCUCCCUCUCACAUAACACUAGAACCAGGGGUCAUCCCAUGAAAUUGACUGCCACAAAAUUUAGGAUCAGCAACCGGAGGUAUUUUUUCACACAACACAUAAUCAACUUGUGGAAUUCUCUGCCACAAGAUGUGGUAACUGCCAACAACCUGGAUGGCUUUAAGAGGGAUUUGUAUAACUUCAUGGAGACACCAGGGAGAGGUUAGGAUCCAGAAGGACCCCCAGACUGCACAACUGUUCCUUCUGGGGAAGUGUGACCCUAUCCAGAACUGGCAGAUCAAAAUAGUCUCCUGAAUUCCGACUCUGCAUGAUAAGUCCUUGACUCAGCCUUCCAUCCUUCCGAGGUCGGUAAAAUGAGUACCCAGAAUGUUGGGGGCAAUAUGCUAAAAUCAUUGUAAACUGCUUAGAGAGCUCCGGCUAUAGAGCGGUAUAUAAAUGUAAGUGCUAUUGCUAUUAGCUGGAUUUAGUCUGUUUGUUAUCCCUCAUCCAGCCCAUCACCAGCUCCAGAUUAUGCCUUCUGAUGACAACAUGGAGAAAUAGAUUUGGGUGUCACCAUCAUAUUGUUAACACUUUGCAACAAAUCUCCUGAUGAUUUCUUCCAGUGGUUCCAUGUAGAUGUUAAACUACAUUAAAGACAAUAUGGAGCCCUGAGGGAUAGUAUAUGGAAGUUCAGAUUUGAAGAGCAACAGUCUGCAAGUGACACUAUCUGGAAUCUGCCCAAGAGGUAGGAGCAGAACCACUGCAAAGCAGUGCCUCCCAUCCCCAACCCUCUCAGACACUCCAGAAAGAUAUAAUGGUUGGCACUAUCAAAAGCUGCCAAGAGCUCCAAAAGAGUCACACUUCCUCUGUCAAUUCCCAGCUAGAGGUCAUCCAUCAGGCCAUCCAAGGCAGUCUCCACCCCAUAGCCUGCUUGAAAGCCAGUAUGAAAUGUCCACAUAAUCAGUUUCCUCCAAGACUGCCUGGAGCUGGGGGACCACCACCCUCUCAAUUACCUUGAACAGCCAUGUAAGCUUGGCAACGGGCCUGUUUAACUCUGAGGGAUCCAAAUGUACAAAUAAAAAUGACAGAGAUGUGUUGCAGCAAUCAGUAACUGGAAAAGGCAUUCCCCAUUCUUGCACAGACAGGAAUGCCUUUUAAGAUGGCACUUGACAUCUGUAAUAUUGAGAACUUGUGUAAAAAGAUAAAACCUCUUCUGAUCUAUUAAUAUGAUCUUUCCCCACCUUGAUCCGAUCAAGAAUAAACAGCCUUACUCUUAGCACACCAUUUUGAACCAGGUGGAAAACUCAUCCUAUACAUUUCAUUCUUAGAGUGCUUGAUAUUUUGAAUAGCCAAGAGUUUAUAAAAGCAAAACCAACACACAUAUUUGAAAAUAAUUUAAUGUAUCAUUUUCAAUACAGAAUUCAGAGUACAUUCUAAGGGUUUGGUUUUUUACACUUCAUGAGAAUGUACACUUUACAAAAAAAAAAAUCAAGCCACAGAUAUUCAUUCCUAACAUAUACAAUGUAGUGUUUCAGCAAGGCAAACACCAUGAAUUACAUAUGUUGCAGCAUACUGUAUACCACACCUAAAAAAAUUUCAGUGAAAUGACUCAAGACCUCUGUUUUACACGAAGUACAGGUGAGCAGAAGCACUGUGACAAGGUCAUGUUUCAUGGUAUCCAAAUCAUUUACUGUUUAUGCAUCUUUUCUCUUGAUAAUCAGGGGCCCAACGUUGUCUCCUGUUUCAUCAUUAUGCUUUGUGUGAGAUCCAUCACAAAACGGGAACUGAAAGAAAGAAGUCUUAAAUGCAUAUUCUUUGAUUCCUCCGUCUUUCACAGCAAGUGCAAAAUGAUGAAUGCUUGAACACACACACACAGAAACAGAUUAACAUGUUGAAAAGACUCAUUUCAAUCCAUGCAAGCCUUCCAUUUUUUGAAUUUCAAAGUAGAAUUCAGAGACAACUAUGGACCUGUUCAAUAUUGAUUCUUCUUCAUAAAUUACACUCAAGUUGUUCUUUUACUGUUAUAUUUAUUAGGAUGGAUUGUGAAAGAAAUCCAAUAAAUAAAGAUGGCUAA